GUGCCGACCAACCCACCAAGCAACAGGAAGAAUGGCUGAAAAAGCAGAGCUUCCAUAUUCCCGCCUUGUGGUCCCCAUCCUUCUCUUGAUCGGCUGGAUUGUGGGCUGCAUCAUAAUGGUUUAUGUCGUCUUCUCCUAGAAAGGCAAGAAGACUUCAGAUUGACCUCAUUUAGAAGAAUUGAGAAAAGCACGAACAUGACAGAUUAUUAAAUGAGAAAAGGACU